CCAUUUACGCUAAUUUCCCUUAAAGAAACGUAUGAUUGCUGUGUUCUAUGUCACUCCACUUGAGAAGAAAAUGACAAUUUUUGUGUUUUCUUAACGCUGACUAUAGUGAUUUUUUUGUGCAGUCCGUCACAAAACGUGCAAGGGAAAUUAAAGAUAAAUAAACGAAACCUGACCAUUUAUAAUAUAUUUCCAUUGACUAAAUGUAGUCAUUAUUAAUUCUUCUUCAUUUUUAUUUUUUUUACGAUAUUCUUGACCCCAAAAAUUGAUUUGCGACUUCGUCUCUUCCAUGUAGACAUCACCUACACACUGAACAACAUAUUAAAAGACAAAGGUGGUCAAUUGAGAAAAAAGGUCUCACGUCAAAUCAACAACCAAAUGAGAUAAAAAGAGAAUGCAAGAGAGUGAGAGGGAUUUGGUCAAAGUUUAGAAAACAUACCUUCUAUGAAGUGAGUUCACAUAUAUAUAGGGAAAUGAUAAUGGACCAAGUGGGUUAAUGGACAAAGUGAGUUAAUGGGCCGAGUCCAAACCCAAGAUGAAAUUGCUUAAUUAAAUAGGCCAAAUCAAUUAAUAGUUGAUGCUAUGUCGGCCAAUGUGGGAUCCCCUCCGUCAGUUGUAUGCCACGUAAUGUACAAGUGUAACAAUAAUCCCCAACUCUGAGUCGUACAAUCAUGUGAGGGUCAGACUUCGAAAUAUAAGCUGCCAAAAAGGUCAUGUCUUACUGAUUGCAUUAGAAAAUAUGAAUAGCUCCAAUAAGCAAGGACUUAUUAACUACUUCAAAAUAUAAGUUAAUCAAAUAAAUGAGGGCUUAUGACCUACCUCAAAAAUAUUUGUACGAGCCUGGAUAAGUGAAGACUUAGCGAUUGCCUCGAAAGAUGUUGCAUAUAAUUUGUUAAAAUUUUGGCAGGCGUCUCCUUUUGAAGCAAAAAUAUAAUGCAUAUACUAGCAAUAAUAUGUAAUGAUACUAAGAUACUAGUAUUACAAUAGUCCCCUAUGGAGUAGUCGAAUAUUUAUAUUCGGGUUGGACUUGAAAUAUAAGCCAUUGUGAUAAAGCUUAUGUAGAGACAAGACUCCAAAUAUGAACAGUAGAGGUGAUGCUAUG
rnacentral:lncRNA from 1 species